rnacentral:misc_RNA from 1 species
UUAACUUGUUUUCAUAAUUUUUCAGACAUUGACAUUUACAGAGAUGUGGUUUCGAGAAUAAAAGGAGGUUUCACAGUUUGGUUUGGAGAUGGUAGAGGACGACCUUUCGGCCAUCCACUCUCUAAACGUUUAAUGAUCCUUCCGCAGGUUCACCUACGGAAA